GCAGAUACUAACCUUGAUACAGACAUCUGGAGUCUGAAUGAUCAAGAUAGCAAUGCAAUUAUAUUGCCAGACAAGAAAAAGAAGAAGAAGACAGAAAAGGAACAGGUAUCGAAAAAGCUUAAAACGAAGAAUAACAUUAAGUUAAGUCAAUCUCA